CCCACCAAUUCCGGACACACCUGGAAUUCUUUGGAAGGCUGAAGCAAGAGGAUCAUUUGAGGCCAGGAGUUUGAGAAAUUCUAUGUGAUAUAAAGCAGAUGCAUAAAAUUUGCCCACAUCUGCAACUUACUUAUAAAAUGUUUUUUUCAAGAGACUGGAACUUCUAGUGCAUAAAUACAGUUUGGGUUUAAAAACCCAGAAUCCUGAAAAAAAUGGCUCUACUUAAAAAACGACUGUUUUUGGUAGUUGAACAGUAAUUUAAAGGGCUCUUCAGUGACGUUAGAAAUCAUUAAAUCCAAUUCUUUCCUUUUAAAUGUAAGGAAGCUGUUGAAGAAAAGUCCCAUGCUGUGUUUUAUGUUUUGAAGGUAUCAGAACUUCUUAAAAAAUUAACUGCUGUAGCGGGGAGAGAGCAGAGGGUCUGCUUCUUCAAAUACUGGCGAUCACACCAUGGUUUUAUAUUGUUUUGGAAAUAACUUUUAGUUGAAAAACUUCGAGGAGUUCAUUCCGAGGCCAAAUGUGGAGAUGGCAUAACCAGAAGAGGGAACGAACUGGCCUGGAUGUGACUCAUGCUUGGAAGGGAGCUGUCUGGAAGGACCACAGUACCUGCAGCCAACUUUGUGUGAGAAAGAAGUGAAGUAUAGCCAUUGAGUAGGCUGCCAAUAGUGCCUGCCAGAGACACUCAGGAGAGAUUAUAUGCUAAAUCCACCAGACCCUUUGUCUAAGGGCAGGACGUCACCUCUUCAGAAACUGUUUUUCUUCUUGUGGUAAUUAUUAAUUCUCUGCAGUGAUUUAGAAGAAUUCUUGUACUAAAUGUCUUGCCAUUAAAAGUUUGAUGAGUAUAGAAACUGACAGUAGAACUAUUUUUAAAAGUAAUUCUACUUCUAACCCAAACUUCUUACUCUAGCUAUUAUUUUACCACGACGUGAGUUGUACGAAUCACCUCCAAUUUACAUAUUAUGGAAGAGCCUUACAUGGAAAAGAAGAAAUCAUUUUCAAAUUAGACAUUCCAUCUAGAACUGUCAGUAGCUGAUUCCCAUCACUGUCUUUUAUUUCUUCAUGCUUUUAGAUGAGAGUAAUCAUAUCUGCAGUAA
rnacentral:lncRNA from 1 species